rnacentral:rRNA from 1 species
UACGUAGGGUGCGAGCGUUGUCAGGAAUUACUGGGCGUAAAGAGCUCGUAGGUGGUUUGUCGCGUUGUUCGUGAAAACUCACAGCUUAACUGUGGGCGUGCGGGCGAUACGGGCAGACUGGAGUACUGCAGGGGAGACUGGAAUUCCUGGUGUAGCGGUGGAAUGCGCAGAUAUCAGGAGGAACACCGGUGGCGAAGGCGGGUCUCUGGGCAGUAACUGACGCUGAGGAGCGAAAGCGUGGGGAGCGAACAGG